rnacentral:rRNA from 1 species
AAACCAGCACCUCAAGUGGUCAGGAUGAUUAUUGGGCCUAAAGCAUCCGUAGCCUGUUCUGUAAGUUUCCGGUUAAAUCCAUUAGCUCAACUAAUGGGCCGCCGAAAAUACUGCAAAACUAGGGAGUGGGAGAGGUAGACGGUACUCGGUAGGAAGGGGUAAAAUCCUUUGAUCUAUUGAUGACCACCUGUGGCGAAGGCGGUCUACCAGAACACGUUCGACGGUGAGGGAUGAAAGCUGGGGGAGCAAACCGGAUUAGAAACCCCGGUAGUCC